rnacentral:rRNA from 1 species
GACGAACGCUGGCGGCGUGCUUAACACAUGCAAGUCGAACGGAACGUCCCUGCUUUUGUGGGGUGCUCGAGUGGCGAAAGGGUGAGUAACACGUGAGUAACCUGCCCUUUACUCUGGGAUAACUUCAGGAAACUGGGUCUAAUACAGGAUAGAAGCUCCUACUGCAGGGUGGGCGUUGGAAAGUUUAGGGGGUUGGGGAUGGAGUCGCGGGUUAUCAGCUUGUUGGUCGGGUAGUGGCUUACCAAGGUAUUGAAGGGUAGCCGGCCUGAGAGGGUGACCGGCCACAUUGGGACUGGGCUACGGCCCAGCCGCCUACGGGCGGCAGUGGUGGAGAAUAUUGCACAGUGGACUGGAGCCAGAUGCAGCGACUCCGCGUGCGUGAUGCCCUCCUUUGAGAUGUAAACCAGUUUCUCCUUAGCCGAAGCGUGAGGGACGGUAAUUGGUAAAGAAGCACCGGCUAACUACGUG